rnacentral:rRNA from 2 species
UAAGCGACUAAGCGUACACGGUGGAUGCCUAGGCAGUCAGAGGCGAUGAAGGGCGUGCUAAUCUGCGAAAAGCGUCGGUAAGCUGAUAUGAAGCGUUAUAACCGACGAUACCCGAAUGGGGAAACCCAGUGCAAUACGUUGCACUAUCGUUAGAUGAAUACAUAGUCUAACGAGGCGAACCGGGGGAACUGAAACAUCUAAGUACCCCGAGGAAAAGAAAUCAACCGAGAUUCCCCCAGUAGCGGCGAGCGAACGGGGAGGAGCCCAGAGUCUGAAUCAGUUUGUGUGUUAGUGGAAGCGUCUGGAAAGUCGCACGGUACAGGGUGAUAGUCCCGUACACCAAAAUGCACAGGCUGUGAACUCGAUGAGUAGGGCGGGACACGUGACAUCCUGUCUGAAUAUGGGGGGACCAUCCUCCAAGGCUAAAUACUCCUGACUGACCGAUAGUGAACCAGUACCGUGAGGGAAAGGCGAAAAGAACCCCGGCGAGGGGAGUGAAAUAGAACCUGAAACCGUGUACGUACAAGCAGUGGGAGCACCUUCGUGGUGUGACUGCGUACCUUUUGUAUAAUGGGUCAGCGACUUAUAUUUUGUAGCAAGGUUAACCGAAUAGGGGAGCCGUAGGGAAACCGAGUCUUAACUAGGCGUCUAGUUGCAAGGUAUAGACCCGAAACCCGGUGAUCUAGCCAUGGGCAGGUUGAAGGUUGGGUAACACUAACUGGAGGACCGAACCGACUAAUGUUGAAAAAUUAGCGGAUGACUUGUGGCUGGGGGUGAAAGGCCAAUCAAACCGGGAGAUAGCUGGUUCUCCCCGAAAGCUAUUUAGGUAGCGCCUCGUGAACUCAUCUUCGGGGGUAGAGCACUGUUUCGGCUAGGGGGCCAUCCCGGCUUACCAAACCGAUGCAAACUCCGAAUACCGAAGAAUGUUAUCACGGGAGACACACGGCGGGUGCUAACGUCCGUCGUGAAGAGGGAAACAACCCAGACCGCCAGCUAAGGUCCCAAAGUCAUGGUUAAGUGGGAAACGAUGUGGGAAGGCACAGACAGCCAGGAUGUUGGCUUAGAAGCAGCCAUCAUUUAAAGAAAGCGUAAUAGCUCACUGGUCGAGUCGGCCUGCGCGGAAGAUGUAACGGGGCUAAACCAUGCACCGAAGCUGCGGCAGCGACACUUAGGUGUUGUUGGGUAGGGGAGCGUUCUGUAAGCCGUUGAAGGUGACCUGUGAGGGUUGCUGGAGGUAUCAGAAGUGCGAAUGCUGACAUAAGUAACGAUAAUGCGGGUGAAAAACCCGCACGCCGGAAGACCAAGGGUUCCUGUCCAACGUUAAUCGGGGCAGGGUGAGUCGACCCCUAAGGCGAGGCUGAAAAGCGUAGUCGAUGGGAAACAGGUUAAUAUUCCUGUACUUGGUGUUACUGCGAAGGGGGGACGGAGAAGGCUAGGCUGGCCGGGCGACGGUUGUCCCGGUUUAAGCGUGUAGGGGGAGUGACCAGGUAAAUCCGGUUGCUUAUCAACCCUGAGGCGUGAUGACGAUGCACCACGGUGCAGAAGCAGUUGAUGCCAUGCUUCCAGGAAAAGCCUCUAAGCAUCAGGUAACAUUAAAUCGUACCCCAAACCGACACAGGUGGUCAGGUAGAGAAUACUCAGGCGCUUGAGAGAACUCGGGUGAAGGAACUAGGCAAAAUGGUGCCGUAACUUCGGGAGAAGGCACGCUGGCGUUAGGUGAAAGGACUAGCUCCUGGAGCUGAAGCCAGUCGCAGAUACCAGCUGGCUGCAACUGUUUAAUAAAAACACAGCACUGUGCAAACACGAAAGUGGACGUAUACGGUGUGACGCCUGCCCGGUGCUGGAAGGUUAAUUGAUGGGGUCAGCCGCAAGGCGAAGCUCUUGAUCGAAGCCCCAGUAAACGGCGGCCGUAACUAUAACGGUCCUAAGGUAGCGAAAUUCCUUGUCGGGUAAGUUCCGACCUGCACGAAUGGCGUAAUGAUGGCCAGGCUGUCUCCACCCGAGACUCAGUGAAAUUGAACUCGCUGUGAAGAUGCAGUGUACCCGCGGCAAGACGGAAAGACCCCGUGAACCUUUACUAUAGCUUGACACUGAACAUUGAGCCUUGAUGUGUAGGAUAGGUGGGAGGCCUUGAAGUGUGGACGCCAGUCUGCAUGGAGCCAACCUUGAAAUACCACCCUUUAAUGUUUGAUGUUCUAACUCGGCCCCAUGAUCUGGGGUGAGGACAGUGUCUGGUGGGUAGUUUGACUGGGGCGGUCUCCUCCCAAAGAGUAACGGAGGAGCACGAAGGUUAGCUAAUCACGGUCGGACAUCGUGAGGUUAGUGCAAAGGCAUAAGCUAGCUUGACUGCGAGAGUGACGGCUCGAGCAGGUACGAAAGUAGGUCUUAGUGAUCCGGUGGUUCUGAAUGGAAGGGCCAUCGCUCAACGGAUAAAAGGUACUCCGGGGAUAACAGGCUGAUACCGCCCAAGAGUUCAUAUCGACGGCGGUGUUUGGCACCUCGAUGUCGGCUCAUCACAUCCUGGGGCUGAAGUAGGUCCCAAGGGUAUGGCUGUUCGCCAUUUAAAGUGGUACGCGAGCUGGGUUUAGAACGUCGUGAGACAGUUCGGUCCCUAUCUGCCGUGGGCGUUGGAAGAUUGAGAGGGGCUGCUCCUAGUACGAGAGGACCGGAGUGGACGAAUCACUGGUGUUCGGGUUGUCAUGCCAAUGGCAUUGCCCGGUAGCUAAAUUCGGAAGAGAUAACCGCUGAAAGCAUCUAAGCGGGAAACUUGCCUCGAGAUGAGUCUUCCCUGGGGCUUAAAGCCCCCUGAAGGAACGUUAAAGACUAUGACGUUGAUAGGCUGGGUGUGUAAGUGCAGCGAUGUAUUGAGCUAACCAGUACUAAUGAUCCGUGAGGCUUAACCU